rnacentral:tRNA from 2 species
GCGCCCGUAGCUCAGCUGGAUAGAGUAUUGCCCUCCGAAGGCAAGGGUCACAGGUUCGAAUCCUGUCGGGCGCGCCA